AGCGAACGCUGGCGGUAGGCCUAACACAUGCAAGUCGAACGGCAGCACAGGAGAGCUUGCUCUCUGGGUGGCGAGUGGCGGACGGGUGAGGAAUACAUCGGAAUCUACCUUUUCGUGGGGGAUAACGUAGGGAAACUUACGCUAAUACCGCAUACGACCUUCGGGUGAAAGUGGGGGACCUUCGGGCCUCACGCGAUUAGAUGAGCCGAUGUCGGAUUAGCUAGUUGGCGGGGUAAUGGCCCACCAAGGCGACGAUCCGUAGCUGGUCUGAGAGGAUGAUCAGCCACACUGGAACUGAGACACGGUCCAGACUCCUACGGGAGGCAGCAGUGGGGAAUAUUGGACAAUGGGCGCAAGCCUGAUCCAGCCAUACCGCGUGGGUGAAGAAGGCCUUCGGGUUGUAAAGCCCUUUUGUUGGGAAAGAAAUCCUAUCGAUUAAUACUCGGUGGGGAUGACGGUACCCAAAGAAUAAGCACCGGCUAACUUCGUGCCAGCCGCCGCUGUAAAAC
rnacentral:rRNA from 1 species